rnacentral:rRNA from 1 species
UUAAAUUGAAGAGUUUGAUCAUGGCUCAGAUUGAACGCUGGCGGCAGGCCUAACACAUGCAAGUCGAACGGUAACAGGAAGCAGCUUGCUGCUUUGCUGACGAGUGGCGGACGGGUGAGUAAUGUCUGGGAAACUGCCCGAUGGAGGGGGAUAACUACUGGAAACGGUAGCUAAUACCGCAUAACGUCGCAAGACCAAAGAGGGGGACCUUAGGGCCUCUUGCCAUCGGAUGUGCCCAGAUGGGAUUAGCUAGUAGGUGGGGUAACGGCUCACCUAGGCGACGAUCCCUAGCUGGUCUGAGAGGAUGACCAGCCACACUGGAACUGAGACACGGUCCAGACUCCUACGGGAGGCAGC